AUACUUACCUGGCAGGGGAGCUACCAUGAUCACGAACAUGGUUUUCCCAGGUCGAGGCUCACCCAUUGCACUCUGGAUGUGCUGACCCCUGCGAUUUCCCCAUAUGUGGGAAUCUCGACCGCAUAAUUUGUGGUAGUGGGGGACUGCGUUCAUACUCUCACCUG